GCCGUAUUCAUCAAUAAUAAACUCAAACUUGGACUCAAACUCAGACUUUGACUCAGGCUUAGACUUACUAAAGACAGACUCAGGAUUCGUAUUCACGAACGCAUUUGGAAAUAGACUUCAAUAAGAUUGUGUUUUUUUAAUGACGUCACGACUAAGCGAACUCUCUAGUAGGGAAAACGCGCCAAAUAGUGUCAAAAAUAGUAGCGGACAUGUUUGCUAUAACUUAUUGAAUGGAGUGUUUGGCAGUUGAAGACAGCGAAACGAAGCGCCAGCAGGUUCAGAUUGGUCCGAGCCAGAGAUUGUUUUUAAUGCGCUGGUUCGGGACCGCUGGAACCUUCUAUCCGCGAGUAUAAGGGGAUCGGAGCCGAAAAGAUUUUGGUUAUUCGAAGAAAAAAAUGGGACGAGGUGGCGAGUAGAAUAUCAAUGUAAGUUAUAUGUUAUUAUCGUAUCUGCCUUAUAGUUGUAAUAUUUUAUUUAAUAGCUUACUUUUGGAUUUGCUACCGAUGUCGUUUUUACUAGCGCCGAAUAAUGCACUAUGUAAACAAGGGGCAUAACCACUCAGCAAAUUGUACUUACGGAUUUCGGAUGUGAUUGUGGAAUGUGUUUUAGUUUCAAACAUUUGUUAUGAUUUAUGAAAAUUUGGGGUCGCAAAAACUGGUGAACAGUGCCAGAAGGAAAACCAAAAUUCCAAGGCUCGGUAGUGUACCAGUCAUGAAAGUAGAGGCAUUAAGUGUAAAGAAUCGCUCACAAAAGAAGAACGACA